UUGGAGGGCAAGUCUGGUGCCAGCAGCCGCGGUAAUUCCAGCUCCAAUAGCGUAUAUUAAAGUUGUUGCAGUUAAAAAGCUCGUAGUUGAAUUUCGGGAUCAAUAUAUCGGUCGUGCCUUCGGUAUGUACUGGUAUUAUUGGUUUCUCCUUUCUGACAAACUAUGAUGUCAUUAAUUUGGUGUCAUGGGGAAUCAGGACUGUUACUUUGAAAAAAUUAGAGUGUUUAAAGCAGGCACACGCUUGAAUACAUUAGCAUGGAAUAAUGAAAUAGGACGUUUGACCCUAUUUUGCUGGUUUCUAGGAUCGACGUAAUGAUUAAUAGGGAUAGUUGGGGGCAUUAGUAUUCAAUUGUCAGAGGUGAAAUUCUUGGAUUUAUUGAAGACUAACUACUGCGAAAGCAUUUGCCAAGGAUGUUUUCAUUAAUCAAGAACGAAAGUUAGGGGAUCGAAGACGAUCAGAUACCGUCGUAGUCUUAACCAUAAACUAUGCCGACUAGGGAUCGGAUGAUGUUAAUUUUUUAAUGACUCAUUCGGCGCCUUACGGGAAAC
rnacentral:rRNA from 1 species